rnacentral:tRNA from 2 species
GUGCCUGUAGCUCAAUUGGAUAGAGCACUGGACUCCGGAUCCAGAGGUUGCGGGUUCAAUUCCCGCCAGGCACACCA